CCGAACCACCCGGUCCAGCCCCGCCAUGUGCACGGACACCUCCCGCUAGGCCUGGCUGCUUAGCGCACCGUGCAACGCGGCCUUGAGCGCUGACAGGGAUGGGGCAGCCACCGCUGCUCUGGGCAACCUGUCCAGUGCCUCGCCACCUUCACACGGAAGGAGUUUCAUCCCUGUUUCCAGUCCAAACCUGCCCUCUGUCAGUGCAAAACUGGCUGCUUCUCCCAAUAAGGUCCUUACUGGAAGUAGCCAGGAAGAUCCAGAGCAUACUUGUCUUGUACUGUCUCCACCUCACCUAAAUUUCCCUUUAACAUAUCUGUUCCCAAGUUUUCAUGGCUCAGCUUGCUCCAUGCUGGAAUUUUCCUCAUCAGAGAGAGCCUUUGGAGGAAUUUACUUAAUAAUUGUAGGUUUAAACUACAAACAAGAAGUAAAUGGCCCUGCUUCCUUUCCAUGCUCUUUCCUGUGGUGGCUUUCAGCUUCUUGGUGGGAUCUGAGGUGUAUCAACACACGAAUUGAGAUGUGUCAAUAUCAUACACUUGAACACUUGGGAACAGGAAAGUUAAAGGGAAAUUUAAGUUCUUUUUAGGAGCUAUGAAGCAGAGAGGGAAGAUGCACAGAGGGUAAAAUGGUGUCAUGGUUUAGAAAUUAUGUUCUUAAAUGUCAUGUUCACAUUGAAACUACUCCAGACCUCACAUGACUCGCACACUUCCCCAUCCCCUUGUCCCCUCCAUGGCUGGCUGGAAAGCAGAACUGGAGGCACAAAAGGUAAAUACUAUGGACUGAGAGAAGAACAAUUUACUGGGAAAAGGAACGAGAUAAGAAAUGAACAGUAACAGCAACAACACUAAUGACAGAGCAAACAAGAAAACAAAAGUUGUCCCUCACCCCAUGGAAACCGCCAUCAAUGCCCAACCACUCCCUCUGCAGUGCUAUCCCAGCCUGCAAGCCAGCCUUUUUCCUGCCCUGUCCCUGGCAAAUGGCAUGAGGUGGCAUAGAAUAACCUCUAGGUCCUGGCCCUGGCCCUCGUGGCUACAUCAGAAAUUGAGCCUGUCCUGGCUGGAACCAGGACAGAUGGAGCCAGUGGUGUUUCUAAAUGCCUUUCCUGGCAGAAUGAGACACUGUUCUGACAUGCCAGAGAGACUCUAGGUUACAGACCCUGUUUGUACAUAGGAAUGUGGAGGAGGGAGGUAGAGAAAAAAUAUUUUGUAAACUCUUAACCUUUCCUUUCCCAGUGCAAGGAGACACGAGGGAAACCACAGGCUGGGUUUGUGGGGAGUCGUGUUUGAGUGGGGGCUCUCCGACCUGACACCUUUCUCCAAAAAAUAUCCAGACUUUGUAGGGUAUGGGAAAAGCAAUUUACUCUGCUGUGUCAAUGUCACAAAGGGUUGAACCAAAUUGCCAGCAAAUGCCCUGGAUCACAGCCACCCACAACCACAACCACAUCACACACAGCAUAGCACAGCACCAAGGAAUCAGCAGAGAGAGAGAGAGACAGAGGCUGCUGUAUAACAGAGAAGCUUGUCAUUGCCUCACUGAACACACUAGAGCAACCAAAAUAGCAGCAAACCCCAGGUUUCUGGUUAUCAUAUCAAGAGCUGUGUGGAGGAUGGCUUUAUUUACCAUGUCCUCAGUGUGUGUGUGUGUCAAAACAAGCAAAUGAAGACUUCAUGAAACAGAUGUUCAGUGCUGCUGUGUGUGCUGAUGUCUCCUGCUCAGCCCCAGACCUGGCUGCUGCUCUGAGGGACAUCCAGACAUAGGAUGAAAAAAUCGCAGCCAAGAACCUGCAGGAAAUGAAUGAAUGGUACAAAACCAGAUUUACUGACUUUAAUCAAGCUUCCACAAAACAUGCUGAGAAUGUGAGACAUUUCAGGGAAGGAACGAGGAAAAGAAGUGCUAUAUUUUGCAACAAGCGAGGUGGAUUGGAGGAGUGGUAACCCUGGAUGUGACUCCAUGUGUCAAACCAGCAGCAAGUAGCCACAAAUAAAAUUUAUACAUAUGAAAUGAAAGUUCAGCUGCUCAGUAAUGCAUGUAUCUGAAUGUAAGAAUUCUGUUGUUUUGAAUGACAGUGUCAGAGCAAAAGGAUUUAUAUGGGAGAAUUUUUUAUUUGAAGCACCAUCACAGACACUUCCACUUCCACACACAAAGCAGACUCCUGCAGAAGAAACCAUUUAAUAUUUUAUGUCAAAAACAUUCAGAAUAAUUUCAUUAGAUGGGGGAAAGACCUUAGAAUGUUGAGGGUUUGGUUUACAGCAUGAAGAUAAAUAAGAAGGGACAGAAGUGUUAUUACAACCAUCCGGUCUGUUGUGACAACCUCUUGAUGAGGAUAGAUGGUUCAGCCGCCUCCUACUGACCUUUGCUUAAAAUAAUUUUUAAAAAUCAGCAUUCCCACAUAGUAGCCUGUUAUUUCAAAGGGUUUUCCUUUCUGGGUCACAGACACUGGCAUUUAACUCCACCUCCUCUCAGUAAAACAUGCAGCAGGAGCAUACGCAGGAUGGAGUAUCAUAUCAAUGUUUUGUUGUUUUGAUUAUUUUUUACUCCUCUGGUCAGCUUGAAGUGCAUCCUCCACUCCAAUGGCUCAGGCUUUCCAUGCAGGGAGUAGCCUGUGUGUCUGGAUCCUGGGCAGCUCACCCUGCCCUGAUGCUGAGAUGGUUCCUCAGGCUGUCCUUCAAACCCUGGGAGUCACACAGAUCAACCUGCAGGCCAGUCACCCAUUCACACGGGACAUGUGUCCCAUCAGGGAGGGCUUUGCCUCUGGGAAAGACCAAGUUGCCAGGGUCACUCCAUUGCGGACCUGUUCUGGGGCUGAGGGUCUCUUAGGUAGCCUGCACCUCACAGGGAGAGUUUGCUUCUCUCUCACCUCUUCCCAAACAUUCAGUUAAACAAGUAUUAAGCAGUUAUGGAUAAUGAAAGCUUCCUGAGAAGUCAGGAGGCUGACCACAGCUGCUGCCCAGCCAGGACAGGAGACCUCUCUAUCCUACCUGCAACCCUGGGUGCCUCUCUGCACCCUGAACAACUUUGCAUAGAAUCAUUAAGAUUGGAAAAGACCUCCAAGAUCAUUGAGUUCCAUCCUUUGACCAAACACCACCAUGUCAACAAAACCUUAGCACAAACUGCCACACCCAGUUGUUUUUUUGAACAACUCCAGAGAUUAUGUCUCCACCACUUCCCUGAGCAGUCUGUUCCAAUGCUUAACCACCCUUUCAAUGAAAAAAACUCUUUUUGAUGUACAACCUCAACCUCUCCUAGAGCAGCUUGAGGCCAUUUCCCUUUAUCAUGUCAUUAGUUGCCUGGGAGAAGAGACCAACCCCCACCUUACUUCUACCACCUUUCAGGCAGUUGUAAAGAGUGAUAAGGUCUCUCCUAAACCUCCUUUCUUCCAGGCUGAACAUCAACCUCUUCUCAUGAUUUACUCUCCAGAUCCUUCACCAGCUCUUUUGCUCUUCUCUGGACACACCCCAGCACCUCAAUGUCCUUCUUGUAAUGAAGGGUCCAGAACUGAACAUAGACUUGAGAUGUGGCCACACCAGUGCCGAGGACAGGGGGACAAUCACUUCCCAAGUCCUGCUGGCCACACUAUUGCUGAUACAGGCCAGGAUGCCAUUGACCUGCUUGGCCACCUGGGCACAUGCUGGCUUGUGUUCAUCCA